CGAACUUUGAAACACGGACACACGGUAGGAGAAAGGAGCGUUUUUAAAUCACUAAAAUACGACAAUUUUCGUCCUUUCUAUGAACACAACCGUCUAUCUAAACGAAAUCGGCAAUGAUGGAAGCUAGAAAAACACAGACUCGUGCAAAAUCAAGGUAAAUAAUCGCGGGUAUUUGGAUUUUUUAACCGCUUUGUUUUAAUGGAGUGUCGCGUUACUUGUGAAUGUUGCAGUGUUCUGAUCUGAAAAAUAUGUUUUUUUAGAAUUUCUGUGAAAAAAGGCAGUGCACUCCAAAACAAAGAAAAUGUGCCUAACAACGCAAGUAAAAAAGG